GCAGAGAACAACUUCAUCUGAAAUUUAGAUGCCCAUGAUUAACGCAGCGGAGAAGUGUGGUGAAAACUGGGAUGGAUCCUUGAAUUGAACCUGGACCACGUUUACAACUCUUUCAGGCUCUGCUUGGUAGCUGCCUCCACCGGGGCCCUGGUCAGGGCAUCCUAUAUCCUCUAUGACUACUGAACAAUAGGAGCAUCCCGAAGAAUCUGCGGACGGGCAUCUCGCAAACAGUCACAGAGAUUCCCAAGAUAAG
rnacentral:lncRNA from 1 species